CAACGCUUCUAACCAGAACACGACCGGAAAAAGUUGCUAAUUUGAGAGGAAAAUAUAAAAUCCCCAAGUACAUCCCCGAGAAAUUUCGCAAAUAAGGUCAACAAUGGCAAAGUUAUAUUCCGUCCUUUUGUGCCUGGUUAUUAUUGGAUCUAUAUCUGCCGGACCUAUAGAGAACAAAGAAGCUGUUGAAGGGGGUGAUCUUUCUACGGCCGAUUCCAUUGGUUACGGAUAUUAUG